AUCUACAGCAAUACCACCCUGAAUGCGCCCAUCUCAUCUGAUCUCAGAAGCUAAGCAAGGUCAGGCCUGGCUAGUACUUGAGUGGAAGACUGCCUGGGAAUACCAGGUGCUGUAGGCU
rnacentral:rRNA from 1 species